CGAGGACGUGGGCGCACGAGUGCCGGAUGACGCUGCGGCCGUCCUCGGUGUUCGCCGCGACCGGCUCGACGUCGGUGUCCUCGG
rnacentral:tRNA from 1 species